UGAAUACGAGAUGCUACGGCAUUGAAGCAGUGUAUGUCAGACUUCCAAGAAAAGCUCGCAAUGUCAUAAACAAUAAAUGCCUGUACCAUAACCGACACAGGUGGGUAGGUAGAGUAUACUAAGGGGCGCGAGAUAACUCUCUCUAAGGAACUCGGCAAAAUGACUCCGUAACUUCGGGAGAAGGAGUGCCUUAUUUUAUAAGGUUGCAAUAACAAGAUCCAAGCAACUGUUUACCAAAAACACAGGUCUCCGCUAAGUCGAAAGACGAUGUAUGGGGGCUGACGCCUGCCCAGUGCCAGAAGGUUAAAGAAGUUGGUUAGCUUCGGCGAAGCUGAUGACUGAAGCCCUGGUGAACGGCGGCCGUAACAAUAACGGUCCUAAGGUAGCGAGAUUCCUUGUCGGGUAAGUUCCGACCCGCACGAAAGGCGUAAUGAUUUGGAUACUGUCUCGGAGAGGGGCUCGGUGAAAUAGACUUGUCUGUGAAGAUGCGGACUACCUGCACCUGGACAGAAAGACCCUAUGAAGCUUUACUGUAACUUGAGAUUGAAAUUGGACUUUAUUUGCGCAGUAUAGGUGGGAGACGUUGAGAAUAUUCUUGCGGGAAUAUUGGAGUCAUCAGUGAGAUACCACUUGUAAUGUUAGAUUUCUAACUUUGUAUCAUUAUCUGGUCAAAGGACAGUUUCAGGCGGGCAGUUUGACUGGGGCGGUCGCCUCCUAAACGGUAACGGAGGCGCACAAAGGUUUCCUCUGAACGUGUAGAAAUCGUAUCUAGAGUGUAAAGGCAUAAGGAAGCUUGACUGUGAGACCUACAAGUCGAGCAGGGACGAAAGUCGGUCUUAGUGAUCUGACGGUGCUGAGUGGAAAGGCCGUCACUCAACGGAUAAAAGUUACUCUAGGAUAACAGGCUGAUCUCCCCCAAGAGUUCACAUCGACGGGGAGGUUUGGCACCUCGAUGUCGGCUCAUCGCAUCCUGGGGCGGUAGUACGUCCCAAGGGUUGGGCUGUUCGCCCAUGAAAGCGGUACGCGAGCUGGGUUCAGAACGUCGUGAGACAGUUCGGUCCAUAUCCGGUGUAGGCGUUAGAAUAUUGAGAGGAGCCUUCUUUAGUACGAGAGGGCCGAGAAGGACAUACCUCUGGUGUACCAGUUAUCGUGCCAACGGUAAACGCUGGGUAGCUAUGUAUGGAGUGGAUAACCGCUGAAAGCAUCUAAGUGGGAAGCCCACCUCAAGAUAAG
rnacentral:rRNA from 1 species